CCUCCCUAGACAGGCUUACUCUACUGGUAGCUUGAAUUUGUGAAAUCGGCUCUAAUCUCCCUCAACCCCCCACCCCCCCACCAAAUCCUCUAAAGGUAUUAUUUAAAGGUGAAAAAGAACAGAAGGCAUCAGAGAGGAAGUUUUGGAAGUAGAAAAGCAGAUGGGGUAAGUGACCCAGCAAACAGCAGGAAGUUCCUUCUUCAGCCUGAGUGUACAAAGCCCUGACUUCCAUCAAGGAACCACCCAAAGGCUCCAGACCCAAGAUGUCUGCCUCAACUACACAGAGGAACUCAUGGUACAGGAAUCCCACCCAAGUUGCUGAAACGUAAGAGGGAAAGUGAGACAGGACUGCUGAUCCCCGAGAUUCGCUGAGGGCAGAGGUCACGUCUUAGGCUCUCAUCUCCCCACACGGCAAGGCAAAAAGCAAGCACGGUUCUGGCAAAACCUUCCUCAAGCCUCUAAAUGAAGCCCCAGAACCGCGGCCUCUAGGAAGACAUAGCGACCCACCGUCCCCACCGUCCUUCAGAUGUCGCCCUCCGCUGUGCGUGUCAGCGCUCUCUCCAUGCACACUCCGCGGGGAUCAUGUACACACUACGCUGCAACCACAGGCCCUCCUGCCUCCCUCCCCAGACACAGCAUCCAGGGAGGGAGCGGUUUGAUCCGUCCCCAAGUCCAGGGCACCCAGUAUGUCGUGAUGCUUCGUGAAUGUGGUGGAGUCAAUGCCACAGGUGCGAGUUUCAGCAAACGCAGACUCAUUCACAAUUAACUGCAGGAGGGAUGGAAAAGCAAGAAACGGCAUUAAAAAUUAGUGUGUGGGGUUGGGGGGAGGGCGCCUGGGCGGCUCAGUCGGCUGGGCGUCUGCCUUCAG